CAGUCGCCGCGGUAAUACGAACCGUGCGAACGUUAUUCGGAAUCACUGGGCUUAAAGCGCGUGUAGGUGGGUGGGUACGUCCGUCGUUGAAAGCCCCCGGCUCAACCGGGGAACUGGCGCGGAUACGGCCUACCUGGAGGGACGUAGGGGGACCUGGAACUUCCGGUGGAGCUGUGAAAUGCGUUGAGAUCGGAAGGAACGCCCGUGGCGAAAGCGAGGUCCUGGACGUUUUCUGACACUGAGACGCGAAAGCCAGGGGAGCGAACGGCAUUAGAUACCCCCGUAGUCCCUGUCUCUUAUA
rnacentral:rRNA from 1 species